UAUUGGUGAGCAUAUGAAACAACAGGAAUACUGUGCUUGUACACUAUACACACAUCUCCAAACCAGUUUGGAGGGUAACUUUGCAGUGCAGAAAGUUGAAGAUGUGCAUGACUCAGUAUAUACUCCCAAGUACAUGAUCUAGAACUGCACUGUUCAAUGCAGUAGCCACUGGCCAUUUGUGGCUAUUAAAUUAAAAUGUAUUAAAAUUAAAUUACAUUCAGUUCUCCAUUUGCAUGAGCCACAUUUCAAGAGCUCAGUAGCUACUCUGUGACUAGUGACUACUCUAUUGGGCAGCACAAUGAACAUUUCUAUAAUUGUAAAAUGUUCUAUUCAACAGAAGUGAUAUAGAAGAAUUCUCAUACACAUGGACAAGAAGAUGUUUAUAACAGCUUUAUUUGUAAUAACAGAAUACUGGAAACCAUUCAAAUGUUAAUACAGUCAUUGAUAAACAAAAUGUGGUAUGUUUAUUUGGAAUACUCGAAUGAAAAUAAAUAAAACUACAUAUACCAACAAGAAUGAGUCUCACAAACAAUGUUUAGAAAAAUUGAGAGGUAACAACGUGCUAGCAGCCCUUGCUUGCUCUCUGUGCCUCUUCAGCCUCAGCCAUGGCCAGAGUGGGUGCCAAGGCCGAGGAGGCACCAAGAGAGACCUAGGGCUUGCAAGGGCUGCCAGCAUGCUGUCACCUCUCACCACCAGAAGGAAGAAACUCUGGACACAUCUGAACAUCUGACAGAACAAACUCUGGACACACCAUCUUUAAGAACUGUAACACCACGAGGGUCCGUGGCUUCAUUCUUGAAGUCAACAAGACCAAGAACCCACCAAUUCCAGACACAAAAUUACGAUGCAGAAUAUACAUGUAUAACAAGGAAUAAAUUUUUUAAACGUUAUAAUUUUGAUAAUUUAUAAAAUUUUAAAAUGGGAAAAACAACCUGUAUGUGG
rnacentral:lncRNA from 1 species